UACGUAGGUGGCAAGCGUUGUCCGGAAUUAUUGGGCGUAAAGCGCGCGCAGGCGGCCUUUUAAGUCUGAUGUGAAAGCCCACGGCUCAACCGUGGAAGGUCAUUGGAAACUGAAAGGCUUGAGUACAGAAGAGGAAAGCGGAAUUCCACGUGUAGCGGUGAAAUGCGUAGAGAUGUGGAGGAACACCGAUGGCGAAGGCAGCCCCCUGGGCUAACACUGACGCUCAUGCCCGAAAGCGUGGGGAGCAAACAGG
rnacentral:rRNA from 1 species